UAUACUCCAUCAUCAGUAGUAGUACAUCAUAAUUGCAGUCAAGAAUAAGAUGCAGAAAAAAGAUGCAGAGAAAGAUUGAUGGAUAAACCAAGCAGCCGCCCGGGUGGAUGGACCAUUGAAAUCGAAACGUGUUGCGAUGAAAAGGGGGGGGGGGGGAUCGCUUCUGCUCUCGGAAUACAGAUGUACUGAAAGCUAGAUGCGGAUCUGAAAACUGUUCAUCAUCAGAAGCAUUCAGCAGCAGCAGCAGCUUGAUGAGGACCACGAAGCAAGUAGCUUGAUGAGGCUCUGCGUCAACACAUAUCUGAAUUUUUUUUUCUUUUCUGCAGCAGCUAUAUAUGCAUGCAUGUUCACACAGAAAAGCAGGAGUACUGGUCAUCCCAUGAUACAAGGACGCAUAUGCUUGCUAUUAAUUAGCCGCUUAAUUAUCAUCCAUGCCGACAUCUUUCUAUGCAUGGAUUUUAGGCCAAUUAGGAACAGAUCAAUGGUAGUAGUACAUACACUUGCACGCGUUCGGAUACGCCGAUGUCAGAUAAUUUUUCCCAUAUCUUUUCAUGCACAUGUUU